UACGAAGGGGGCUAGCGUUGCUCGGAAUCACUGGGCGUAAAGCGCACGUAGGUGGGUUCUUAAGUCAGGGGUGAAAUCCUGGAGCUCAACUCCAGAACUGCCUUUGAUACUGGGAAUCUUCGAGUCCGGGAGAGGUGGGUGGAACUGCGAGUGUAGAGGUGAAAUUCGUAGAUAUUCGCAAGAACACCAGUGGCGAAGGCGGCUCACUGGCCCGGUACUGACACUGAGGUGCGAAAGCGUGGGGAGCAAACAGG
rnacentral:misc_RNA from 1 species